CCUGACGGAGCAACGCCGCGUGAGUGAUGACGGCCUUCGGUUGUAAAACUCUGUGAUCCGGGACGAAAAGGCAGAGUGCGAAGAACAAACUGCAUUGACGGUACCGGAAAAGCAAGCCACGGCUAACUACGUGCCAGCAGCCGCGGUAAUACGUAGGUGGCAAGCGUUGUCCGGAAUUAUUGGGCGUAAAGCGCGCGCAGGCGGCUUCCCAAGUCCCUCUUAAAAGUGCGGGGCUUAACCCCGUGAUGGGAAGGAAACUGGGAAGCUGGAGUAUCGGAGAGGAAAGUGGAAUUCCUAGUGUAGCGGUGAAAUGCGUAGAGAUUAGGAAGAACACCGGUGGCGAAGGCGACUUUCUGGACGAAAACUGACGCUGAGGCGCGAAAGCGUGGGGAGCAAACAGGAUUAGAUACCCUGGUAGUCCACGCCGUAAACGAUGGAUACUAGGUGUAGGAGGUAUCGACCCCUCCUGUGCCGGAGUUAACGCAAUAAGUAUCCCGCCUGGGGAAGUACGAUCGCAAGAUUAAAACUCAAAGGAAUUGACGGGGGGCCCGCACAAGCGGUGGAGUAUGUGGUUUAAUUCGACGCAACGCGAAGAACCU
rnacentral:rRNA from 1 species